UAGCUCAGUUGGUAGAGCCUGGUGCUUGCAACGCCAGGGAUGUGGGUCUAAUUCCCAU
rnacentral:tRNA from 1 species